rnacentral:rRNA from 1 species
UCCUACGGGGGGCAGCAGUGGGGAAUAUUGCACAAUGGGGGAAACCCUGAUGCAGCGACGCCGCGUGAGUGGAGAAGUAAUUCGUUAUGUAAAGCUCUAUCAGCAGGGAAGAAAAUGACGGUACCUGAGUAAGAAGCCCCGGCUAACUACGUGCCAGCAGCCGCGGUAAUACGUAGGUGGCGAGCGUUAUCCGGAAUGAUUGGGCGUAAAGGGUGCGCAGGCGGUCCUGCAAGUCUGGAGUGAAACGCAUGAGCUCAACUCAUGCAUGGCUUUGGAAACUGGAGGACUGGAGAGCAGGAGAGGGG